GAUAGCAGCCAUAUCACCCUGUAGCCCAAGACUGGUUGCCCACUGAAGCUAAGCAGGGCUGGGUUAGUACCUGGGUGGGAGACCUCCUGGGAAAACCAGGUGCUGUUG
rnacentral:rRNA from 1 species